GUCUUUUGGCUUUGAGGGGUCCGGAUAGCAUUUGUCUUGUGAUUUCCUAGUAUCAUUGGCUUGCAUAAUAAUUUUUUGAUAGAAAAAAUAAAAUAAAACAAAAAUUAAAUAUUAGACUAAUAAAUAAAUAAAUAACCAACUAAAAAUAAAAAUUGCAAAUAAAACGAACAUAAGACAUAUAUAGAUAAAAGUAGAAAUAUCAAUGUAUAGACGUAAUUUAUAUAAUAUUCCAAAUGCGA
rnacentral:lncRNA from 1 species